rfam:Triticum urartu cultivar G1812 contig646592, whole genome shotgun sequence.
GGGUGCUUGAGGCUUUCUGCCUUAAGCAUGCUGUUUGCAGACGGCAGAAAGAGAAAAGCCCCGAGUGAUUUUUCAAUCAACCCGAGGCCUAUCCUAUGCUUAGCAACAUCAGGUUAGCGUCUUACACGUCGCAAGACAAGGAGAGCAACCAUG